GAAAGAGAAUCUUCUGACUCUUUCUUUUUCCUCUAUAAAGAGAGCAUUUCAACCAUAUUCCAUGCUCAAAUAGCUUCACCCUGUUAACCAAUUGAAUUUACUCAAGGUCUAUACAAGUGAAUAUAUAAGAAGAACUUACCUCUUAGGCCCAAUGGUUGUUAUUCCUUCAUCUUCUUACCUUGUUGUUUUCGAUUAUUACAACUUCUUAUUAUUACCUUUUCUUUUUAACGUCAUAUCCUUCAAAUUUCCAGUCAACUCUAUAAACACAGGUAACCUAUAAGAACGAUAAUAAUUUAAUAUCGAAAUUGGUAAGAAUAAAAAUAACUAAGAAGAUGAUAAAAUCCGAAUCAACGAUUUUAAUAAACAAAAGAAAAGGGGAGAACAUAAAAAUUGAAGAAAACAAAAUGUUUCAUUAUUAUGAGAUUUUCCCUUUUUUGUCAAAUUCUUUUCUUUUUUUUUUAUUUAUUGUUAAUCUUUUAUAUUUAAUUAUUGUUUCUCUUUUUCAUUGAUUAUCUUUUAAUCAAAUGUUUCCAAUUUUGGUUUAUACAGUUGAUGAGUUUUAAUGGCUUAAGGGUCUUUUCCGAAAGGAUUUCGAGGAUAAUAAGAUAUGUAUCAUAACGUAAUUAGGGUUGACAAGUGAAUUGAUUACAUUUUAUUAUAUUUGUUAAGAAUAGCUUAUUUUGCUUCUUGGUGAACCAUGAUCAUUCCUUUGGAACCAAUAGUGAUAAAGAAUAUAAUCAAUAUGAAAAGAAAACCCCCGAAGAAAAGAGGAUUUGUAACAGAUUCACAUGCAAAUCAAAGUUAAUCUUCAACCCAAUGAGCCAUAAACUCUUAAGACUAACAUUUUGUUGUUGGUUUACAAGUUUUAUCCUGUCUUGAUGUUUUUGUCGAUUUGAUGAAAAUAAAAAAGAUAAGAAGACAAGAGUGAGAAAGAGAGAAAGAGAAGAGGAAGAUGUGUACAUCAAGGAUCCAGAGAGAUGAAGGAAAUCCAUCAAUACGGAAAAGAAAGAGAAGAAAACUAAAUAUAUUCUCUCUCGUUUUCAUUCCCAAGAGGUGAACGAUUUAUUGUCAUUGAUAACCAAUUGAAAGUUCACUCGAUGUAAAUUAAAUAUUGUGUCUAUGUAACUGAGAGAAGUGAAUAGAUCAGACAAUCAUUUUAAUUGCUUUGAUUCUCUGUCGAUACGAUGUAAUUUAACUUGUGUGUCCAACUUUUGUCAAAUGAUUAUUCCAAUUCUGUAAUUUCUUUAACUCACUUUGUUUCCAUUUGAAACGUAAUCAAUUUCCUCAAACAGAUUAAUUGUCUUCACGA